GUUACAUUCAUCCAGAUAUUUUCCAAGAUUGAAGAAACAAACGGCUGGGAAAGGAAUUAUCUAGAUUCCAGCACUAGAGAAAGCAGCAGCCCUAAAAGAUGUGUCAGGACAAGGAGCAAGGCCAUGUACAUUAGGGACUCUCACGUGCCCUCACCACUGCAGCAGCAUUUUAGUCCAGCUAAGCCCAUGGCCAGGCUGCAAGGCAGAAAUGUCAGUUUCAUUGCAGCAGCUCAGCUUCAGGCACAGAUCUCUAGAGGAUGUUUUAAGUGGACCUUUUUGUCUGGAAAAAGUGCCCUGGGAUGAUUUUUUUUUUUUUUUUUUUUGAUGAUUUACUUAGGUAGUUCCAGCAGUCUCUGCAGCUCUAGGAGGCAAUUAGUCAAAUGACGUCCCAAUCCUGCCACCAGCUAGUGUAUUUCAGUAGACAACUCUUUCUCAUCUAAUUCAGGUGGCAGUGGAGAAACUUCCCACUGUUUCUCCUUUGAACCCAGCUGGACACCACCCUGAAGUUCCAGUACAUGGAGAUAGCCAGUAAAUGAACAAUUGAUGACCUGUGUUGAAGAGAGAGGGCAUGUUGCCUAGGGUCCCCCUGCUUCUGGUAGGCAGCUGCAGAAGGUGAAGAUGCAGCACUGAGGAGGCAGGAGGAGGGCUGACCACCAGCUCCCGGCAUGUCCCCAGCACCAAGUGGCCCAGAGAGAGCCCAGGAUGCGCACGCAGGUGGAUGCUCCGCGUGCUGCCCUAGCGGGUGCCUCAGGACCCUUUGACAUUUCAGUACCAGAAAUCAAAUGUCGCUUCAGAAGCCCGGCCCUCCAAAGAUGUCACAAUCCAACCUCCCACACGCACAGGAGAACAGCGCGUUUGGAGGGAUGAAGUAACUCACCAAGGUCACGCAGUCCUGCAGAGCCAGGAUCCCAACCCAGGAAGUCCUCAGAGCCGGCCCUCGCCACCGACUCCCUGGAGAUAGGUCUGGAAACUUGAAUCUCUGGAAUAUGCAAAAUGCCCCCUUCACCACCAAGAAAGGACCAUCCUGGUCCCUGAUCCCCGGGGGCACAACACUGCUGUGUGACAGGGGCAUGACAGCUCCCAUGAAGGAGUCCAGAACCGAGACCUGUGGAGAGAACAUGAGAUGCCCAAGGUCACGAGAGAGUGAUGAUGGAAAACCCUUGAAGGAAGGACACUUUUCCUACAUGUGACUACUCAUUCAUCACCCAGGCUCAUCCAGCAGACCUCAUCUGCACCAGGCAUAAGGACACAAGGGAACUCAUGAAGCAUGCCUCUGCCCUUCGAGAAGCCCUAAUCUCAAGGCUCUUGGCCCUUCCUGGGAUCCUUUUGAAGAUCUGAUGAAACCCUGAACUCUCUUCCCGGAAACACAAGCACAUCAAAUGGUAAAAAUAUGGGGAUCUCAGGAAAGACAAUGUGAUUGGUCACAUGUGAGUCCACGUGCCCAACCCUUGCACCGGAGUGCAAGGCAGAACCCCUUGUUUGAAAUUUCUGCCAGUUGGGUGGUGUCUGCGGCUGCUGCUGGGAAAAUGGGGAGUAGAGGCUUGCAGGUAGAUCAGCUGGAAUACAUGGCACAGGUGACACUGGAAUCCCUGACCUGCUAAUGAAUGAAAACAGGGCCUGAUGUCCACUGAGUUGAGCAACAGGGCCUUUGUUACUGCAAGGACGUUGUCCCCACCUCCGGCUGUGUUAGGAUCACAGAACACCUGUCACCAGGGAACAGAGCUUUUUCGCAGGUCCCUGAUGUUUGUAGCUGUGUGACCUUAGUCAACACGCUCAGCCUCUCUGAAAUGCAACAUCUGGGGGAAAAAAUGAAAGAAAAAUGAAGCAAAAAGAAGAAGAAGAAGAAGGAGGAGGAGGAAGAGGAGAAAGCAAAGUGAUGAGGUGGAGAAUGGACACUCUCUCUCCCUUCUGGCCACAACUCAAUUCCCCCAGGCUGUCUAAGUGCAUCCUACUUCUCCUUUGUCACAUUCAUCAGUCAUCACGUCACACUCAUUGUGAAGUAUUCUCAUUAUCAUUGCGUCUUGCAUGCCAGUAGACUGAAAGCUCCCUGACUGCAGAAUGAACCAACGAAUGAACCUAUUUGCACCUAUUUGGGAAUCUACUUGCACCUAUUUGGGAAUCUACAGAUGCUGCGUUUUUAUCCCAUGGAGGUAUUUUUGACAACCAUAAGGAAGGUGAAGUUCAGAGACAGGCAGCCACUAACUUGCAGGAUACAGCUGUAAAGAUGAGUGGGGGAUUUAACCAACCCAAAUGUGACUGAUUGUAGAGUUGUCCCAACCAUCUGGAACCUUGCGGCCCCACACAGAUCACCAUUGACAUGCAUUACCCAAGUUAUGGAGUGAUUGGUACUCUCUUCUUGCAUGUUAACCCAAUACAACCAGCCAGAUAUCCUUAAAGAAAAAGAAGCGAGAGGGGCUGUAGCAGACAGGAGAUGUGGUCUUAAAAUGGAGAGGAUGGCUAGGUCCACUUUAAGGGGAUUUAGAAGGUGACUGCAGAUCUGUGCAAUAUCCCAGUGAUGGUCACUAGAGAGUGCAGGAGUUGCAUCUCCUCCUGGGGAGGGAAUGUUGGCUUUCAUCUUUUUAGUCCAAAGGUCCCCAGCCUGGGAUCACCCUAGGGUGUUCCCACCACCCUGGGUUCCUCUUGCCUCAUAGUUACCUAUGAUUUUCAGGCCUGGAUGAGAGGCAGGGCGAGUGAGCUCCAUGGAAAUACCUGUCUCCACAGCCUGCAGGUGCACACACGUACUGCCCAAGCUAUCCGGCUCUGCGGGCCCCAGUUCCACUUUUGACUCCAUCUGUCCUUGGAAACAAAAGGGAAGAAAGGCUGUUUCUUCCACCUCAUACUUUAAUUUAAAAUUUAGGCUAUGUUUUCUAGGGAUGCAUGGAAUCUAGUCAUGACCUAUUUGAAAUACUGAAAGACCAGAUAAAACCUCUCAGGACAGAAGGGGUGGGACAAUAGCACCAAAAUGCUUCUCCUGAUAAUUGUCCCAAACUCAUACCUCUAAACAUCACCAGCGCUGUUUCAGUGGAAGGCAGAAUUGGUGGAAGAAGGCUGUGGAAGUUAUUAUAAUUUUGGAGCUAAUAAAAACCUCUCUCAGACAGGCUUGGCCUUGGACGUUACUUGACUCCCACAGCAUACCAGAUGAAAUCUGGUCUCUGGGGACUUUUAAAUCAUCAAUACCCAAGCCUCAGCAAAGACAAAUUACAUAAGAAUGUCUGGGAGCUAUGGCUUUUGGGGAGAGUGAUUCCUCAAAACACUAACAUCAGAUAUAUCUAAUUCCAGGCUCUGCCACCGCUCAUCUGUGAGUCCUAGAGAAAUCACUUCAGUUACUUGAUCCGUGGUUUCCCCAAAAGUAAAAUGAAGCAAAUCAUGGUGCAAAUUUCAUGGGGCUGUUGUAAGGGUUUUAUGAUAUAAUAGCUGCAAAAGGCCCCGUACUGUGCCUGGCACACAUUAGGGAUUCAAACAUUGGCCAUUGUAAUUUUACUGUUAUUAUUCUUAUUGAUAAAUAUUGACUAAUCGCUGGCUAAAAUUAUACCCUUCUUUGAACCCUGGGGAAAGUAUAUGAACUUGAUGGUAGAUGGGCACUGCUGGGGGAAGAUUAAUGGAGGUGUCCUGUG
rnacentral:lncRNA from 10 species